GACGAACGCUGGCGGCGUGCUUAACACAUGCAAGUCGAACGGUAAGGCCCUUCGGGGUACACGAGUGGCGAACGGGUGAGUAACACGUGGGUGAUCUGCCCUGCACUUCGGGAUAAGCCUGGGAAACUGGGUCUAAUACCGGAUAGGACCACUGCCUGCAUGGGUGGUGGUGGAAAGCUUUUGCGGUGUGGGAUGGGCCGCGGCCUGUCAGCUGGUUGGUGGGGGGAUGGCCUACCAAGGCGACGACGGGUAGCCGGCCUGAGAGGGUGACCGGCCACACUGGGACUGAGAUACGGCCCAGACUCCUACGGGAGGCAGCAGUGGGGAAUAUUGCACAAUGGGCGCAAGCCUGAUGCAGCGACGCCGCGUGAGGGAUGACGGCCUUCGGGUUGUAAACCUCUUUCAGCACCGACGAAGCGCAAGUGACGGUAGGUGCAGAAGAAGGACCGGCCAACUACGUGCCAGCCGCCGCCGUAAGAC
rnacentral:rRNA from 1 species